GUACACAAAAUUAUCAUUACGUGGCCAUCCUGGAAUGAGGCAGAUCGAUCUGGAAAGGCUUGCAGAAAGAUACAUAUUUGUAGUUUUUCCUGAAAAUUUAAAUAUUUAAAGUUCUGUGAUAUGACAGGUAGGCUCUUUCAGGCUACAGGGAGAAGACACUUUAGAGAAAAUGUUAGGGAAUAAUAGAGUGGCUUUUUCGUUUUUUUGCUUCUCUGCUUAUAGUAUUUUGUUUUGGGAGGGAUGGGAUCUGGCCUUGAUUUUGCAGAGACUUCUUGUGCCCAGCCCGUAGUAUCUACCCAAUCAGACAAGGAGCCAGGAAUUACUGCUUCUGCUACUGAUACUGAUAAUGCUAAUGGAGAGGAGGUACCACAUACUCAAGAGAUUUCAGUGUCUUGGGAAGGUGAAGCUGCCCCUGAGAUAAGGACAUCUAAGUUAGGCCAGCCAGAUCCUGCACCCUCUAAGAAGAAAUCCAAUAGACUCACCUUAAGCAAAAGAAAGAAGGAAGCUCAAGAUGAGAAGGUGGAGAAAACUCAAGGUGGACAUGAGCACAGACAGGAAGACCAACUAAAGGAAACAGUUCAGGAUCAUUCUCAGAUCAGGGACCAGCAAAAAGGAGAGAUAAGUGGUUUUGGUCAAUGUCUGGUCUGGGUCCAGUGUUCCUUCCCAAACUGUGGGAAAUGGAGGCGGCUGUGUGGGAACAUUGACCCCUCAGUUCUCCCAGAUAAUUGGUCCUGUGAUCAGAACACAGAUGUGCAGUAUAAUCGCUGUGAUAUUCCUGAGGAGACCUGGACAGGGCUUGAGAGUGAUGUGGCCUAUGCCUCCUACAUCCCAGGAUCCAUCAUCUGGGCCAAGCAAUACGGUUACCCCUGGUGGCCAGGCAUGAUAGAAUCUGAUCCUGACUUAGGGGAAUAUUUUCUUUUUACUUCCCAUCUUGAUUCCCUGCCGUCUAAGUACCAUGUGACGUUUUUUGGAGAAACAGUUUCUCGUGCAUGGAUCCCAGUCAACAUGCUAAAGAACUUCCAGGAGCUGUCCCUGGAGCUAUCAGUCAUGAAAAAGCGCAGAAAUGACUGCAGCCAGAAACUGGGGGUGGCCCUGAUGAUGGCUCAAGAGGCAGAACAGAUCAGCAUUCAGGAACGGGUUAACUUGUUUGGUUUCUGGAGCCGAUUCAACGGAUCUAACAGUAAUGGGGAAAGAAAAGACUUACAGCUCUCUGGUUUGAACAGCCCAGGAUCCUGCUUGGAGAAAAAUGAGAAAGAGGAAGAGUUGGAAAAGGAGGAAGGAGAGAAAACAGCCCUAAGAAAAAAUUUAAAGCUCCCCAGAGCAAGGCCUUGGCAGCCAGCUUUUCAGAGGGAAAAGAAGUUAGAACAGUGCCAAAGAACCUGGGCCUAUCAGCGUGUAAGGGGGCCUGCCCCUCAUCUGCGAAAGAAGAGCCCAGACACCGGGAACCCCUGACCCAGGAGGCUGGAAGUGUCCCCCUUGAGGACGAAGCCUCCAGUGACCUGGACCUGGAGCAACUCAUGGAAGAUGUUGGGAGAGAGCUGGGGCAGAGCGGGGAGCUGCAGCACAGCAACAGUGAUGGCGAGGACUUCCCCGUGGCGCUGUUUGGGAAGUAGCUGGUGCUCCUCUGCUCCCUCUUUUUCUCCCUUCUCUGGGGCGCAGGAGGGAGAAGUUGCUAAGUGCUGGGUCUGUUCAUUGGCUAUGAGGUUCAAAUGUGUGUGGUGCAGUUUCUGUGUUAAUAAAGCAGGUUACGGUCG
rnacentral:sRNA from 1 species